GAUGAACGCUGGCGGCGUGCCUAAUACAUGCAAGUCGAGCGAACGGACGAGAAGCUUGCUUCUCUGAUGUUAGCGGCGGACGGGUGAGUAACACGUGGAUAACCUACCUAUAAGACUGGGAUAACUUCGGGAAACCGGAGCUAAUACCGGAUAAUAUUUUGAACCGCAUGGUUCAAAAGUGAAAGACGGUCUUGCUGUCACUUAUAGAUGGAUCCGCGCUGCAUUAGCUAGUUGGUAAGGUAACGGCUUACCAAGGCAACGAUGCAUAGCCGACCUGAGAGGGUGAUCGGCCACACUGGAACUGAGACACGGUCCAGACUCCUACGGGAGGCAGCAGUAGGGAAUCUUCCGCAAUGGGCGAAAGCCUGACGGAGCAACGCCGCGUGAGUGAUGAAGGUCUUCGGAUCGUAAAGCUCUGUUAUUAGGGAAGAACAGAUGUGUAAGUAACCGUGCACAUCUUGACGGUACCUAAUCAGGAAGCCACGGCUAACUACGUG
rnacentral:rRNA from 1 species